rnacentral:rRNA from 1 species
UACGGAGGGUGCAAGCAUUAAUCGGAUUUAUUGGGCGUAAAGGGUGCGUAGGCGGGAAUGUAAGUCAGAUGUGAAAUCCCAAGGCUUAACCUUGGAACUGCAUUUGAUACUGCGUUUCUUGAGGAUAGAAGGAGAAAGUGGAAUUCCACAAGUAGCGGUGAAAUGCGUAGAUAUGUGGAAGAACACCAGUGGCGUAGGCGACUUUCUAUUUUAUUCCUGACGCUGAGGCACGAAAGCUAGGGGAGCAAACAGG